AAAGUAUUCGGACUUGUGUUUAUUCAAAAUAAACUAUAGUCCAACCGAGAGUGAUCUUCGGUGAAUGUUAUAUAACAUGAGUAGUAUUAUGUUGUGGACAAGUGCCACCAACAUCUAAGUGAAUUAACCUCAACAACUUUGUGAUUCUUUCUUCUUUCCAAAAGAAUAAAGAUUCGAACAUUUCGCCUCUAUACAAUUUUAACAAGAAGGUAUUGGAUCCGGAUCUAAUGAUCCAAAGCAUCCAUCUAUGACCAACUCGUAAUUUAUGUUUUAGAGGUAUCACAACUCAGUUGGGAUUAGUCACUACCUUGCAACCUUUUGGGUUUUAAGCAUCAUUGUAUUCUAAACAGUUAACAAUACCAUAUCAUCGCUACUAUAGAGACAAUCAAUUAGAUUACUAUAAUCCAAUCAUUGAUUAAUAAAGAACAAUGUUUUGUCAAACAAAACAUUCAUCCAUCUCUACUAUAGUGACGGAAUUAAGUUCCUUAAAAUUGGAAUGUAAAGAAAAUCUUUGGUUUUUCCAAUUUCUUUGGUAGUUCAUAUGAGGAAGUAAGUACUAUCUGCUUUCGCAGAGAUCUAUAUUUUAUUCACGUUCCGAAUGUGAAGUACCUUUUCUUCUCUCAUAUAUCUUCUACUUCUUAUUAGUCACACUUUUACAACGAUUGUAAAACAUAGUUACUAAUAUGGAAUCAAGCAUUCAAGUAGAAGAACCAACUGUUUUGAACUAUUCAAGAACAAUUUACAACACCUUCGAAAGGU
rnacentral:lncRNA from 1 species